UGACAACCGAAUCUCAAAGCAGCCCACCCCCUUCCCUGCGCUCCCCUGCUCUUUCAGCUUCUAAUCUGAAUCCCAUUCAUCUUCCUAACAGAAACCCAUCUCUGCCUUUUGCAUCUUGACGGCGACGGCACGGCAAGAUGACGCCGCUCGACGACGGCAGCGAGGCACCGGAUAAAGGUACAACAGCCCCUCCAUCGGAACCUUAUCUGCCUGCCUACGGCUCCACUCAUGCCCGACGGGCGGCAACGAGGAACUGGAUCAAGGUACGGCGGCAACGAGGGACUGGAUCAAGGUACGACAGCCCCUCCACCGAAACCUGCUCUGCCCACAGCUCCACCCAUGCAAUUGGCAAUGAACACAAUUCCACCGAGGACGAGCAGCCCACCAGGGAAUGAUGAAAGUAAUGCUCCAAGAGUUGGGAUGUGCUUUGAAUCAGAGUAAGCGGCAUACAGGUUCUACAAUUCUUAUGCUCAAACCAAAGGAUUCAGCAUUAGGAAGUGCCACCUUAAGUGUAGAGCAGAUAACAGUUCAAGUUCCAGAUAUUUUGUGUCUAGCAAGGCAGGUGUGAAGGCCACUAAUCCAACACAUGUAGCCAGGAAACAACGAGCAAUUUCGAGUACUGCUUGCAUGGCUCGUGUUCAAUUCAGCAUCACUCGGGAGGGUAUUUGGAGUGUUCAGAAGGUAAUGCUCGAUCACAAUCAUCAGCUUGUAAG